rnacentral:lncRNA from 10 species
CAGCACAAGAGCUGAGCGCCUGGUCCCGGCUUGGCUGGGGAACAUUAUACAGCCCCGCUCUCUUAAAAUGUGGACAUUUGAUCUUCUAAGAUAAGACUUUUUGAGCCACAAGCUACUCUUCUGAUUGGAUGUAGAACAAAACAUAGCAAGUCAUCGUCCACGUUCUUUCUAAACUUUGCAUCGUUGAAUGAAGAGGCCCUAUCUAAUAAGCUGUAGAACUGAACACUCCUCUUCAGUUUGAGAGGCUGUUCAAGCUUGUAAAGGCACGUGCAGGCAGCGCCACCAUGUGUUUUCUGAAGAGACCCAUAAGGCUACGCGGGAGAAGGAAUGAACGCCAGGACUCUCCCCAGCCAACGUAUACCUAAGUGGGACUUCUCAGUAUAAUAUGCUUGGCGCAUCUGUUAGGGGUGGCCCUUUCUCAGCCAUUUGACAACUUACUUCAGUCAAACCUAAUAAACUUCCAACUCUCAUUUUCCAAUUAUUAUUAAAAUUUCAAAGCAGGUAGGUGUAAAGUACCAGGUAUGUAGUAAACUGACUAUUUUUUCCCCCAUAAAAACAUUUGAAAAUUAAUAAUUGGUCCAUACAACUAAGCAGCGGUGUUGCGUGAGUGGUUAUUAAACUAUUA